CGACCGGGGCGACAGCAAUAUGAAGGUCAGGCUGAAGACUUACCCGAUUAGCUGAGAGGUGGUGCAUGGCCGUCGUCAGUUCGUACUGUGAAGCAUCCUGUUAAGUCAGGCAACGAGCGAGACCCACGUCCACAGUUGCCAGCAUACCCUCCGGGGUGAUGGGUACACUGUGGAGACCGCCGCUGCUAAAGCGGAGGAAGGAGUGGGCAACGGUAGGUCAGUAUGCCCCGAAUCUCCCGGGCUACACGCGGGCUACAAUGGUUGGUACAAUGGGCAUCUACCCCGAAAGGGGAAGGAAAUCUCUUAAAGCCAAUCGUAGUUCGGAUUGAGGGCUGCAACUCGCCCUCAUGAAGCUGGAAUCCGUAGUAAUCGCGUUUCAACAGAACGCGGUGAAUACGUCCCUGCUCCUU
rnacentral:rRNA from 1 species